AUACUUACCUGGCAAGGGAGAUACCAUGAUCAAGAAGGUGGUUCACCCAUAGCGAGGCUCAUCUCAUCCCUGAACACUAGAGGCCUUAAUGACCCUGUGAAGUGCCUGACGGCUUUCACCUUUUUAAAUAGUGAAAAACAUGACAUCUUUCUA
rnacentral:snRNA from 1 species